GCACGCGUAGCUCAGUUGGUAGAGCAACUGACUCUUAAUCAGUGGGUCACAGGUUCAAUCCCUGUCGCGUGUACCA
rnacentral:tRNA from 1 species